UUUAUGGAGAGUUUGAUCCUGGCUCAGGACGAACGCUGGCGGCGUGCCUAAUACAUGCAAGUCGAGCGAACAGAGAAGGAGCUUGCUCCUUCGACGUUAGCGGCGGACGGGUGAGUAACACGUGGGCAACCUACCUUAUAGUUUGGGAUAACUCCGGGAAACCGGGGCUAAUACCGAAUAAUCUAUUUUACUUCAUGGUGAAAUACUGAAAGACGGUUUCGGCUGUCGCUAUAAGAUGGGCCCGCGGCGCAUUAGCUAGUUGGUGAGGUAACGGCUCACCAAGGCGACGAUGCGUAGCCGACCUGAGAGGGUGAUCGGCCACACUGGGACUGAGACACGGCCCAGACUCCUACGGGAGGCAGCAGUAGGGAAUCUUCCACAAUGGGCGAAAGCCUGAUGGAGCAACGCCGCGUGAGUGAAGAAGGUUUUCGGAUCGU
rnacentral:rRNA from 1 species